rnacentral:rRNA from 2 species
UUCCGUAGGGGUGACCUGCGGAGGGAUCAUUACACAAAUAUGAAGGCGGGCUGGAACCUCUCGGGGUUACAGCCUUGCUGAAUUAUUCACCCUUGUCUUUUGCGUACUUCUUGUUUCCUUGGUGGGUUCGCCCACCACUAGGACAAACAUAAACCUUUUGUAAUUGCAAUCAGCGUCAGUAACAAAUUAAUAAUUACAACUUUCAACAACGGAUCUCUUGGUUCUGGCAUCGAUGAAGAACGCAGCGAAAUGCGAUAAGUAGUGUGAAUUGCAGAAUUCAGUGAAUCAUCGAAUCUUUGAACGCACAUUGCGCCCUUUGGUAUUCCAAAGGGCAUGCCUGUUCGAGCGUCAUUUGUACCCUCAAGCUUUGCUUGGUGUUGGGCGUCUUGUCUCUAGCUUUGCUGGAGACUCGCCUUAAAGUAAUUGGCAGCCGGCCUACUGGUUUCGGAGCGCAGCACAAGUCGCACUCUCUAUCAGCAAAGGUCUAGCAUCCAUUAAGCCUUUUUUUCAACUUUGACCUCGAUCAGUA